ensembl:lincRNA
GGGGGUGCGGGGGGCGUUGCUGUAGAAAGAGGGAUGGGGGAGGGAGGACAAACAAGCAGCACUGCUGAGAAAAACAUAGGCGGCCUCUAUCUCAGUGUGAGGAGACCUUGUGCUGUAGCUGCCACAAAGCAGCAUUUGACCCAAGGCUAUGUUAACAAAGAUACUGCCUUUAGAAUAGGGAGGUGCUCUACAGUGAUCAUUCGUUCAACUGACCUUUGUCAUUGGCCAGACAUAGGACAGAAUGGUUCUGCAUCUGGGGAACACCAUUUAAGUAAAAUCAGAAAAAUCUCUGGUCUUUUGUAGCAUAUGUUCCAGUGGAAAGAGGCGGACUUUAGAUACGCUAUAACCAGAGUAAGGAAGGAAAGUGCUAGAAGGUGGUGACCUCUGAGGAAGGAUUUGAGGGACGUGAGGAUGUCUGGGGAAGUUAUUUCCAGACAGAGGAACCUCCAGUCCAAAUGCACUAUGGCAGGAAGGUGUCUGUGUUCCCAGAAGAGCAAGGAGGCCAGGAGGGCUGGACAGAGAGAAACUGAGUGGAGUAGAGGCCAGGUAGAGAAUUCAGGAUGUGGCUCUCGCACAAGGAACACCUGUGAAUGCCGCUCUCUGACACCUGCCCACAGACUCAUUUCCCGCUCACUUCUUGGAGCAAACUAUGGAAAACAAAUUUCUGUAAUGUACACAUUAAGUCGUAUAUCUGGUAUUGGGGGCUAGUUUUAUUGUGGGGAAGGCCACAGAAGCAGGCUGGAACCUACACAUCCAGGAACAGAAUCCACAGCCCACCCUGGAUCAGGUCCCUCCUAGAAACAACUGCCCCUGCUGCUGAGCACAGACGCCACUGCUCACACCUCUGACACCUGGUGCUGGACACUGGACCCCGAGGCCAGGACAGAUGUCACUGCUGCACCUGGAAACUGGACAUCACUACUGUCACUCAGCCAUCUUUACUAAAAUGUGUUCUGCACAGUCCCAGCCUCUCUGUCACCUCAUUCUGGCUCAGAGGCUGGCAGUGAUAUAGGAGUUAAGAAGAAAUUAUUUAGACAGGUAGUGAGGGUACGGAAGGCUUUUAAUGAAAAGCAGGCUCCAAACUAUUUUCUUUUCUAACAAGGAGCAGCCUGUAAUAUCAAGCUUCAGACACAGACAAGUAAGCUGGAAGCUUGCACGGGUGAAUGCUGGCAGCUGUGCGAAUAGCAAUCGGACACCUGGGACCGGGCAUGUUCACAAUGGCGACUCCAUCUUCCCUUCUGUUUGCCAGGCUCCUUCCUUACAGUAAGGAGCAGACAACAUGGCCAAGUGGCAAGCCCAUUUGCAUAAUAGGAUGAGGGUGGGGUGAACAGCCUUCCACACACACUGUGUAAAUAUCACACCUGGUCCAACCAACCUGUGGCCCCUACAUAAAUCACACACCAUCUCCUCAAACCUGCCUGUAAAAUCCGAUGCACUCCCAUUCCAUGCCGGAAUUCCCUUUUGGGUGCCCCUCUGUCUCACAAGAAAAGAGCUGUUCCCCUUUGUCUUUCUUUUGCCUAUUCAACUCUUUGCUCCUAAACUCAUUCCUCAUAUGUCAGUGUCCUUCAUCUUCUUGGCAUGAGAUGACAAACCCUUAGUAUUUACCUGAGAAAAUGACACCUCUUCAGCAGGUGGUCAUUGGACUGGUGGAGCUUAAGACUCAUGUCCAUGAUCAACUGCAGGGUGACUGGAAUGUUGUCCUCUUCCAGGGAGGGAGGUGGUUUCUGUCUCCUCUCAACAUUUUACAUGUUGUAAACCAAAAAUAAACAUCAAAGCCACCCACUCCUAACCAUCUUAAUGAACACCCUCAGCCAGGGUGCUCAAAACUUAACCUGAAAGACUGGCUCAAGCCACCAUGAUUAUGCUCUCUUCCCUUUUGGAGUUCAGGAAAAGCUGACCUGCAUUUACCAUCAACACAGACCUUAAAUCUGAUGAGAAACAUUUACAAUCUAUUCUCUCUGAAGCCUGGCACCUGGAGGCGUCAUCUGCAUGAGAAAAUUUUGGACUCUACAACCUCUUAUCAUAACCCAGACAUUUCCUUUCUAUUGAUAUUAACUCAACCAAUUGCCAAUCAGAAAAAUUAAAAAUCUACUUAUAACCCAGAAGCACUACCCCACAACCCUUGCCUGCUUCAAAUUGUUCCAACUUUCUGAACUGAGCCAAUGUAUAGCUUAAAUGUAUUUCAUUGAUGUCGCAUAUCUUUCUAAAAUGUAUAAAACCAACCUGUGCCACAACCACCUUGAGCACAUGUUCUCAGGGUCUCCUGAGGACUGUGUCGUAGGCUGUGGUCACUCAUUUUUGGCUCAGAAUAAAUCUCUUCAAAUAUGUUACCGAGUUUGACUCUUUUCAUUGACAGUGUGGAAUUCUGAUGUAAUAAGAGGGUUCAAGUGCUGGAGUGUGAGGGGUGGGAAAAAGUGACAAAUUUUAAUUCUUGGAGCAGUGAUCCAGGACGAGAACUUUAUCUGGUACCUGGCAGGCAUGCAGAGUGUCUGAAUGAACCAGUGAUUAAUAAAUAACAUGUUUCCACCCAUUCUGUUGAGGGUAGGUUAUUGCAUCAAGCUUUGGUCUAUCCCAGUUCAUACUCUAGAUUAUUGGAGUGGCAUUGUGUGAUAGUGAAAUGAUUACUCAAACAGCUUCCCUUGACUUUGUCUCUUACUAGGAUUAAAACACCCAAGAUUGUAAGAUCUCCGAGGAUCUGGGUCCACACCGAUGUUUUAUAUUAAUAUUUAUAUUUUCUUGUGUGUGGAAAUAUUUCUGGGGAGAGAAUCUCU